GACGAACGCUGGCGGCGUGCUUAACACAUGCAAGUCGAACGGAAAGGCCUCUUUCGGGUGGUACUCGAGUGGCGAACGGGUGAGUAACACGUGAGUAACCUGCCCUUGACUUUGGGAUAACUUCAGGAAACUGGGGCUAAUACCGGAUAGGAGCUCCUGCUGCAUGGUGGGGGUUGGAAAGUUUCGGCGGUUGGGGCUGGACUCGCGGCUGAUCAGCUUGUUGGUGGGGGAGUGGCUUACCAAGGCUUUGACGGGUAGCCGGCCUGAGAGGGUGACCGGCCACAUUGGGACUGAGAUACGGCCCAGACGCCUACGGGAGGCAGCAGUGGGGAAUAUUGCACAAUGGGUGGAAGCCUGAUGCAGCAACGCCGUGUGCGGGAGGACGGCCUUCGGGUUGUAAACCGCUUUCGCUCAUGACGAAGCUUUGUGUGACGGUAGUGGGUAAAGAAGCACCGGCUAACUACGUG
rnacentral:rRNA from 1 species